ACUGGGCUGCCGCCGGUGGGAGGGGCUUCAGCUCCCGCGCGGCGGCGCUCUCGGCUGCAAGGCUAGGGUACCCAAGCAGAGAGUAUAGUCCAUUUCACCGCCGCUGCUUCGAUUUCACCGCCGCUGCUUCGAUUUCACCCGCUUGCGGUCAAUUUCACCUUCUUGAGAUCAGUUUCACCCGCAUCGACCUUGUUUUCCUCUUCUAUAUAAUAAAGAAGCCCGCCUGGAUAGCUCCUAGGAACUGUCUAGGAACAGUUCCAAGAACUGCAUUCUACCGUGGAAAGAAUAAUAGAUUUGAAGACAGAAGCUCUGGAUUCUAAUCCUGACUGCUACUUAUCUAUAUCGCUGAUCUUGAGACAUCAUCUUCUAUGUCUAAGCCUCGGUUUCCUUAUCUGUAAAAUAAAGUGAGUGGACUAGGUAACAUCAAAGACCCCUUCCAACGCUGAAUCUAUGAUUUAUGACCCCAAAUCACAGGGUUUCCCAGCUGGAAGGAAUCUUACCGGAGUUGGACAAUUUUCAGCCACUUACAGUAUCAGGAGGUACUGUUCUGGGAAGAUCACUCCCAUAUGUGGAUAAAAUAUCUCUGAAAUGAUCAUGUUGGCCAACAGAAAUAAUGUGGAAAUAAGGUUGGGGAGCGCCUUUGGAACGCCGAUUGGGGAGAAUAUUGAAUGCCAAGCCAAGGAGAGCUAUAGCUCCUGAACCGAAUGGGGGAGAGGGCAGAGCAGAAAGGAUCCUGAGAAAGGAAGUGCUAUUGAGGAUGAGACCUGAAAGCAGAACUCUUCUGUGAAUCCUGGAGAACAUCUGUGGAGCAGAUCGAGGGCUUAGGAUUUGGAAUGGGGUCACUUCAUGCUGAGGAACUGAGUCACACCCGCCUCUUGGUCUGGUAAUACAAGUGGAUGUGACAAGCCAUGCAGCUGUGGGAGAGGAGGGAGUGGUCAUAAAUCUGGACUGAUGCUGAUGGGAUUCGGGGGUGGGGACUCCAGCUGCAACCUCUGUCUGGAAGAUGAGGGGAUUUUGUUGCUGUUUACACAACACCAUGGAGAAUAAUAAUAACAACCCCAAAAAGUCUAUCAAGUUCCUGGAAGCAGCGGGUAAGAAGCCCUUCAACUCCUUGUGGGGAAAUGAGUAGCAAUGGGACCCUUUACAGAGCAAACUGAGAUGCCUACAGUUCCUCUCAAAGCCGAAUCCCCCCAAAUCUAGGAAGGAAUCCUCUCAGAUGCUAUUCUCAGAGAGAUGAAACACGACAUACAAAAAUCUGUGAUUUGAUCCUUGUAAAGAACUCCCAGCAUGGAAACUCCCUCCUCUCUGCCCAGAUUUUUAAGAAAUUACUUGAGACUCAGAGAUAUUUUAAGUGAUUUGCCCUGAAUCACAUAACUAGUAAGAUUUAGGACAACUAGGUUUCUCACUGGUUAGAGCGCUGAGCUUGUAGUCAGGAAGACUCAUCUGCGUAAGUUCAAAUUUGAUCUCAGACAC